UGAAAUGGCUUUUCCAGAUUAGGGACCGGGCUGCGCUGUUGACACAGUCAUAAGUUUUAAUGAGAAAACUUGAGUAUUUGCGUGGGAGACGCAGCCUCCGAGAGCGCAGAUGCGGCGGGCUGCGCGGGGGGCCGGUCCUCCCCGGGGCGCCGCGGCAGGCCAGGCGCGGAUUCCUUUCAGGCCGAGGGGAAACGUUUAAACCCUCUCACCUUUGAACUGCCGGGGACGCUGUUUACCUUGGCUGCCCGCGUGGCAGUUUUACAGAUAUUAAAUACUGACCUGGGGGCGAGCGGGGUUCCUAGCUGCGCGCUCUCGCCGGGGGCCAGCCGGGCACCCCAACGCCCACGCCUCGGGGGUCAGUGGGGUCCCCGCCCCGUGCCCCCUCUGCAGACGGCUGUCUGCAUUGGGUGCUGGGGGAACGCCCAGGGCGAUCUCUUCUCAUUCGCCCCACCCGGUUGAUCUCCUAAUUUGAUUUUCUGCGAAGGGCGGAGUGGAGAGGUACAGGAGGCCGAUAGCUGUCUGGGCCUAGUGCGCUCUUUUCGCGGCCUCUGUAUCCGGAAAGCUGAGCUCUCCAGCUUAGGCACCUCCUCGGCAGGGCUCCGGUGGCCGCUUCUCGAGGAGCAGAGGCAACGUCUCUCUCUAGAGACCCCUGUGGAAAGGCGUUCUGCCCGAGCCCCGAGCUCCAGCCGGCAGUCAGAAGGCUCCCUGCAGAGGCACAAGCCAUGUUGAUUUUACGGAGAAGGCUGCUAUGCACAUUUCACUGCUGAUUUAUUGGUUUUUAACUAGAUCCUUAUGCUGGGCUAAAAAAGCCAUCUUGCACUUUGCAAGACUCUGCUGACUGCUGCCGAAAAUGACACGCGGGGCUCCUCCUGGCCUUUCCCUGGCUCCUCCUGGCCUUUCUCCGCCUCAUCCCACCCAAAGGGCCAGGGUGGAGGCCGAGCACGGAGCCCUCUUUUGAGGAAGGAGCCCCAGCCUGCAGCCUCCCAGUCACUGACCACCUGCGGUGUGCACCCGGUGGAAAUGACCCUUCCCAAGAAGCUGUUGCCUGCUGCACUUGAGGGGAUGCUCCUUGCCAGGAAGAGGAUUCCACCAGGAGCAGCUUUUUAAGGAAAACACCGCCUUGACAUGUCAUGUGUCAGAGGAAGUGGGUUCUACACAACAUGAAUUGCCAGCCUGACCUCCUGCAAGGUCUCAAGUUCCCCAGAUUGAGGCCUUUCCUGGGCUAGGCAAGGGUCAGCACAGCUGGACAUGAAUGUGAAGACUGGAGGGGGAGGCUGGGUGCAGGGCAGCAGAAUAGCCACAAUCCAUACUACCUGAAAGGGAGCAGCCACUUUUAGAAAGGGACAGGCCUGGGGAGCAGGAACAGGCUCAAGGGUGCUGAGGAUCUGGUAUCUAUGGUGUGUUCACAGCCAACAUCUCUUCUAGUCCAGGGAGCUUCUUAGUGCCAUUUUGGGGGAGAAGUGUAUUAAGAUUUAGAGAGAGGUUAUAAUGGAACAGGCUGUGCAAAUUAAAAACAAAACUGAGAAUGUCUGGCUCAAAACCCAUACUCUAUCCCCUCCCACAAGCUGUUUAUUGUUAGUGAAGAUUACUGGAGGAGAAGGAUGCUUCCUUGGCCUGAACAAUGAGCACUAUGACUUGUUCAUUGGCUCUCUAGACAUUACUAGGUGCUUAGGCCCCAGGGAUGUCCCACAUGGAUUUUCUACCUUCAAGGAACUCACAGUCUAUGGUGGACACACUGGAAGUAAAAAGUGAGCGGGAUUGUACAGGGAGGGCUGGUGUGAGUCUAAAGGAAAACCCUGAAGCAUCUGAGUCCCAGGAAAUCAGGAAGACUUCCUGCAGGAAAUGGUCUUCGAGCUGCCCUUGACCGAGGGGCAGUGCCCACAGCAGGCGCGGCAGGGAGGCCUGAAGAUUUAAAACAAUCCUGCAGAGACCACUGGGGACAGUUUGUACUCAUGUGGUGAGCCCUGCCUGCCCAUCCUGCACCAGAAGCUCACUGUGUUAUUGAGGAGCCAGUUGCUACAGCCUCCGCACUUUAUAUGUGGGGCCUCAUCUAACCCUCACAGCAAUUCCGGGAUGCUGUGCCCCACUUCAUCCUCUGUCUACAGAAGAGGAAACCAGCUCAGAAAGACUCUGCUCAGCUUGGGAAGAGACCUCAUACCUCCACAGCCAUGGGACAUCCCUGGAGACAUGGGGUGGAUACAUAAUUUUCCCCUUGCCUUCCUGCCUGGAAACAGCUUCGGUGGGCUAUGAGCUCCUCUGAAACACACUGGUGCAUCUCUCUCAAUGUUCUGCUCAUUUACAUGGAUGCCUAAAUUAGACCUUGAAAGCAGCGGAAGUUGCUGGGCAGCCAGAGUGAGAUCGCCGCAGAACCCACUGUGUAAUCCCAGCCAGGUCCAGGCUCUCCAAAUGCCGUGGAAAUGAAGGCUGAGACGCCCCCUCCAGAGUCUUUGCCUUCCCUGAUUCCCCUGUUGUGGGAGACAGAAAGCCUUUUGAGGUCAGCCUGCCCAGAGUUCCAGGCUGACUGCUGGGGCAGAAGAUGGGUGCCAAAAAGAGUGAGCAGCCAGUAGCAGGAAGCUACAGGGGUGGCUAAGUGGCCCCACGCAGUGCCAGGGUACCUGAGUGUCGGUGUUUCUUGCACCCCCGCAGCCAACCCCACUCCAGGCUAGACAGCAGGACUCUAGGCUUUCCUCUUGUGAUUCCGGAAGGCAAUAAGUUCACAGAAGAUGAACAAAGAUUAUUUUUGUCUUUUGCAAAGAUGCUUCUUUGAGCCGGUGAGUAACAGCAUCUUGGCUUUAAGAUAGCCUUGAUGCUUUCAGAGCAUAUUUCUGGGUCUUUAUUUUGUUUGAGUUCUAAAUGGCAACAAGGAGAAAGAGAAAGAGGAAGAGCAAGCAAUCAGGGGGCACAGACCAGGGGCAGGCAGAGGGCCCAUGGGGCUCCUGGCUCCUUUCUAGGUGUCAGCCCAGCCUGGAGGAAGGGGUGGGUGGCCCCGUAACGUGUCAGCUAAAAAGAUUCCUCUUUGGAAUCCCUUCCUCCCCCAUCAAAACUGGGCCAAAGAACUCUCUUUCAGAGCAUCCCUUGGUCCCUGACUCAUGAAGCCCAUCUGAAACUCAUUAGCUGCUUAAAGUGAUUGUCAUGAGAGUGCUUGGUGGAAAAUAAAAAAGAGAGAGGGAUACUUUUAAAGACAAUCAUCAGGACCCAACUGCUGGCAGAUGUUUGAAGAGCUGGCAGUCGAGGACCCUGCAUUGUGGGGAGCAGUGGGGACUGACUCCUUCCCUGACCCUGGCCUCGGCUCUGUGCCCUCAUGUCUUUGUGUCUCCUGCAGUUCCUGGAGCCCAGCAUGGAUACAACAGCCCUCUUCAGGUAGCUGCUGAAAGAUCCCGGCCCAGGGACACCCAAAACCUGAUCCUGGGAAUAGCUGUGGUGGUCCCUUGGUCCUUUGUCACCUGUAACUUAAUUCCUAUGUUUUACAGAUAAAGUAAUUUUGUAUUUGUAAUAACAAAAAAUACUAUAUGAGAAAUGCUGGAAUUAUGAUAACAUACUACAUUAAAACCACAGAGCUAAGAA